rnacentral:rRNA from 1 species
GACGAACGCUGGCGGCGUGCUUAACACAUGCAAGUCGAACGGAAAGGCCCUGCUUUUGUGGGGUGCUCGAGUGGCGAACGGGUGAGUAACACGUGAGUAACCUGCCCUUGACUUUGGGAUAACUUCAGGAAACUGGGGCUAAUACCGGAUAGGAGCUCCUGCUGCAUGGUGGGGGUUGGAAAGUUUCGGCGGUUGGGCAUGGACUCGCGGCUUAUCAGCUUGUUGGUGGGGUAGUGGCUUACCAAGGCUUUGACGGGUAGCCGGCCUGAGAGGGUGACCGGCCACAUUGGGACUGAGAUACGGCCCAGACUCCUAUGGGAGGCAGCAGUGGGGAAUAUUGCACAAUGGGCGGAAGCCUGAUGCAGCAACGCCGCGUGCGGGAUGACGGCCUUCGGGUUGUAAACCGCUUUCGCCUGUGACGAAGCGUGAGUGACGGUAAUGGGUAAAGAAGCACCGGCUAACUACGUG